rnacentral:rRNA from 1 species
AAAGGGUGCGUAGGCGGCCUGUUAAGUCAGGGGUGAAAGACGGUAGCUCAACUAUCGCAGUGCCCUUGAUACUGAUGGGCUUGAAUGGACUAGAGGUAGGCGGAAUGAGACAAGUAGCGGUGAAAUGCAUAGAUAUGUCUCAGAACACCGAUUGCGAAGGCAGCUUACUAUGGUCCUAUUGACGCUGAGGCACGAAAGCGUGGGGAUCAAACAGGAUUAGAUACCCCAGU